rnacentral:rRNA from 1 species
UACUUGGUGUUACUGCGAAGGGGGGACGGAGAAGGCUAUGUUGGCCGGGCGACGGUUGUCCCGGUUUAAGCGUGUAGGUGUGUGUUCCAGGUAAAUCCGGUUCACUUUAACACUGAGGCGUGACGACGAGGCACUACGGUGCUGAAGCAACAAAUGCCCUGCUUCCAGGAAAAGCCUCUAAGCAUCAGGUAACAUCAAAUCGUACCCCAAACCGACACAGGUGGUCAGGUAGAGAAUACCAAGGCGCUUGAGAGAACUCGGGUGAAGGAACUAGGCAAAAUGGUGCCGUAACUUCGGGAGAAGGCACGCUGACACGUAGGUGAAGUGAUUUACUCAUGGAGCUGAAGUCAGUCGAAGAUACCAGCUGGCUGCAACUGUUUAUUAAAAACACAGCACUGUGCAAACACGAAAGUGGACGUAUACGGUGUGACGCCUGCCCGGUGCCGGAAGGUUAAUUGAUGGGGUCAGCGCAAGCGAAGCUCCUGAUCGAAGCCCCGGUAAACGGCGGCCGUAACUAUAACGGUCCUAAGGUAGCGAAAUUCCUUGUCGGGUAAGUUCCGACCUGCACGAAUGGCGUAAUGAUGGCCAGGCUGUCUCCACCCGAGACUCAGUGAAAUUGAACUCGCUGUGAAGAUGCAGUGUACCCGCGGCAAGACGGAAAGACCCCGUGAACCUUUACUAUAGCUUGACACUGAACAUUGAGCCUUGAUGUGUAGGAUAGGUGGGAGGCUUUGAAGUGUGGACGCCAGUCUGCAUGGAGCCGACCUUGAAAUACCACCCUUUAAUGUUUGAUGUUCUAACGUGGACCCGUUACCCGGGUUGCGGACAGUGUCUGGUGGGUAGUUUGACUGGGGCGGUCUCCUCCUAAAGAGUAACGGAGGAGCACGAAGGUUGGCUAAUCCUGGUCGGACAUCAGGAGGUUAGUGCAAUGGCAUAAGCCAGCUUGACUGCGAGCGUGACGGCGCGAGCAGGUGCGAAAGCAGGUCAUAGUGAUCCGGUGGUUCUGAAUGGAAGGGCCAUCGCUCAACGGAUAAAAGGUACUCCGGGGAUAACAGGCUGAUACCGCCCAAGAGUUCAUAUCGACGGCGGUGUUUGGCACCUCGAUGUCGGCUCAUCACAUCCUGGGGCUGAAGUAGGUCCCAAGGGUAUGGCUGUUCGCCAUUUAAAGUGGUACGCGAGCUGGGUUUAGAACGUCGUGAGACAGUUCGGUCCCUAUCUGCCGUGGGCGCUGGAGAACUGAGGGGGGCUGCUCCUAGUACGAGAGGACCGGAGUGGACGCAUCACUGGUGUUCGGGUUGUCAUGCCAAUGGCACUGCCCGGUAGCUAAAUGCGGAAGAGAUAAGUGCUGAAAGCAUCUAAGCACGAAACUUGCCCCGA